UACAGAGGGGGCAAGCGUUGUUCGGAAUUACUGGGCGUAAAGGGCGCGUAGGCGGCCCGCUAAGUCGAACGUGAAAUCCCCGAGCUCAACUCGGGAACUGCGUCCGAUACUGGCGGGCUUGAAUCCGGGAGAGGGAUGCGGAAUUCCAGGUGUAGCGGUGAAAUGCGUAGAUAUCCGGAGGAACACCGGUGGCGAAGGCGGCUUCCUGGACCGACACUGACGCUGAGGCGCGAAAGCUAGGGGAGCGAAUGGG
rnacentral:rRNA from 1 species